rnacentral:rRNA from 1 species
GAUAACUACUGGAAACGGUAGCUAAUACCGCAUAACGUCGCAAGACCAAAGAGGGGGACCUUCGGGCCUCUUGCCAUCAGAUGUGCCCAGAUGGGAUUAGCUAGUAGGUGGGGUAAUGGCUCACCUAGGCGACGAUCCCUAGCUGGUCUGAGAGGAUGACCAGCCACACUGGAACUGAGACACGGUCCAGACUCCUACGGGAGGCAGCAGUGGGGAAUAUUGCACAAUGGGCGCAAGCCUGAUGCAGCCAUGCCGCGUGUGUGAAGAAGGCCUUCGGGUUGUAAAGCACUUUCAGCGAGGAGGAAGGUGGUGAGCUUAAUACGCUCAUCAAUUGACGUUACUCGCAGAAGAAGCACCGGCUAACUCCGUGCCAGCAGCCGCGGUAAUACGGAGGGUGCAAGCGUUAA